AGUGAACGCUGGCGGUAGGCCUAACACAUGCAAGUCGAACGGCAGCACAGUAAGAGCUUGCUCUUACGGGUGGCGAGUGGCGGACGGGUGAGGAAUACAUCGGAAUCUACUUUUUCGUGGGAAAUAACGUAGGGAAACUUACGCUAAUACCGCAUACGACCUACGGGUGAAAGCAGGGGAUCUUCGGACCUUGCGCGAUUGAAUGAGCCGAUGUCGGAUUAGCUAGUUGGCGGGGUAAAGGCCCACCAAGGCGACGAUCCGUAGCUGGUCUGAGAGGAUGAUCAGCCACACUGGAACUGAGACACGGUCCAGACUCCUACGGGAGGCAGCAGUGGGGAAUAUUGGACAAUGGGCGAAAGCCUGAUCCAGCCAUACCGCGUGGGUGAAGAAGGCCUUCGGGUUGUAAAGCCCUUUUGUUGGGAAAGAAAAGCAGCAGGUUAAUACCCCGCUGUUCUGACGGUACCCAAAGAAUAAGCACCGGCUAACUUCGUG
rnacentral:rRNA from 1 species